rnacentral:rRNA from 1 species
CUCCAGACUCCUACGGGAGGCAGCAGUGGGGGAUAUUGCACAAUGGGGGAAACCCUGAUGCAGCGACGCCGCGUGGGUGAAGGAGCACCUCGGUGCGUAAAGCCCUAUCGGCAGGGAAGAAACAGACGGUACCUGACUAAAAAGCCCCGGCCAACUAUGUGCCAGCAGCCGCGGUAAUACAUAGGGGGCAAGCGUUAUCCGGAAUUAUUGGGUGUAAAGGGUGCGUAGACGGAGAAACAAGUUGGUUGUGAAAUCCCUCGGCUCAACCGAGGAACUGCAACCAAAACUAGUUCCCUUGAGUGUCGGAGAGGAAAGUGGAAUUCCUAGUGUAGCGGUGAAAUGCGUAGAUAUUAGGAGGAACACCAGUGGCGAAGGCGACUUUCUGGACGAUAACUGACGUUGAGGCACGAAAGUGUGGGGAGCAAACAGGAUUAGAUACCCGCGUAC